AUUGAACGCUGGCGGCAUGCCUUACACAUGCAAGUCGAACGGCAGCGGACCUUCGGGUGCCGGCGAGUGGCGAACGGGUGAGUAAUAUAUCGGAACGUACCUUUCAGUGGGGGAUAACGUAGCGAAAGUUACGCUAAUACCGCAUAUUCUGUGAGCAGGAAAGCAGGGGAUCGCAAGACCUUGCGCUGAUUGAGCGGCCGAUAUCAGAUUAGCUAGUUGGUGAGGUAAAGGCUCACCAAGGCGACGAUCUGUAGCGGGUCUGAGAGGAUGAUCCGCCACACUGGAACUGAGACACGGUCCAGACUCCUACGGGAGGCAGCAGUGGGGAAUUUUGGACAAUGGGCGCAAGCCUGAUCCAGCCAUGCCGCGUGAGCGAAGAAGGCCUCGGUUGUAAG
rnacentral:rRNA from 1 species